GUAGGUGGCAAGCGUUGUCCGGAAUUAUUGGGCGUAAAGCGCGCGCAGGCGGUUCUUUAAGUCUGAUGUGAAAGCCCACGGCUCAACCGUGGAGGGUCAUUGGAAACUGGAGAACUUGAGUACAGAAGAGGAAAGCGGAAUUCCACGUGUAGCGGUGAAAUGCGUAGAGAUGUGGAGGAACACCAGUGGCGAAGGCGGCUUUCUGGUCUGUAACUGACGCUGAGGCGCGAAAGCGUGGGGAGCAAACAGGGAUUAGAUACCUUGGUAGUCCACGCCGUAAACGAUGAGUGCUAAGUGUUAGGGGGGUUUCCGCCCCCUUAGUGCUGCAGCUAACGCAUUAAGCACUCCGCCUGGGGAGUACGGCCGCAAGGCUG
rnacentral:rRNA from 1 species